CAGCAUACACACCCUCUGCUUCUGGCCACCCUCUCAAGUGUUCAUACAACCUCACCAUGAAAUUCAACUUUCUGGGAUUACGUGUUGCUGCUUGAUUCGUUGCCCUGGUGGGCUAAUGCCUUAUUAAGUUUGCUUUUCUAUCACUUUCCUUCCUAUUGCUGCUCUCAUAACUUUUCUCUGCGUUUCAUCUCGGCCUCAGAUCUGAUCUUUUCAUCCACAUACAUGGCUGAAAAGGUAAACAGCCUUCAUUGCCAUCUCAAUUAUCACUCUCUCUUUUUUAUCUCCAUAACCAACCCUUUUGGAUUAAUGUCCUUUACAUCUUGUUCUUGUUUACAAAGUCAAAAUGUGAUUUCAAUUUCCUACUUUCUGCUUCAAUUUGUAGCAUAAUGAUGAAGCCAUUCUUCUAUUCUAUGCCACAAUCGUAAGAUUGGUUCACUACUAUAAAUAAUUCUGAUGGGUGGUUUUAUUGAACACAUUAAUCAGGUGACCUUCAUGAAACUCAAGGUUGACCUUGAGUGCGGGAAAUGCUGCAAAAAGGUUAAGAAAGUUCUCGCUAAGUAUCCUCGUGAGUUCAUCACCCCUUGCUUUAAUUUUCUCUGCUACAUGUAUUAUCUAUACGUUAAAAUCACGAUUAAUUGUGACAUGAAAAUUUUGACAUUUGCAUACAUUUAUUUUUUGGAUGUAUGAGGGUGUCAAAUUGAGUUGAUUUUUUGGAUGUUGAAAUUUUGUGAACAAGAGAAAUUCGGGACCAGAGGUUCAGUGAGAAGGAAAACAUGGUGAUUAUUACAGUGGUGUGUUGUAGCCCCGAGAAAAUCAGGGACAAGCUUUGCUACAAAGGUGGAGGCUCUAUCAAGAGCAUUGAGAUACUGGACCCGCCCAAGCCCAAGCCCGCUGAGCCUGAGAAGAAGAAGGAGGCCGACAAGCCCAAGCCCGAACCCGAGAAAAAGAAAGACGCGGAGAAACCUAAAUCUGAUGCUCCCAAACAGGAAGCCGGUAAGAAAGACGGCGGGGAGAAGCCUAAGGCUGAGCCUGAGAAAAAGAAAGACGGGGAAAAGCCCAAAGCAGAGGCUCCGAAAAAGGAAGCUGAGAAGCCCAAGGAAAAGCCCGCGCCCCAGGCGGAGAUGCCCAAAGCCAAGCCCGCACCUGCUCCGUUACCCGUUCAGCCACAUAUAGCACCACCGAUGGCGGUUCCAGUUGGGAUGCUGUAUGCUCCUGCUCCCUGCUAUGAAGGCAGGCCCAUUGGGCCUUUCUUCGAAUACGGUGGGCCCAUGAAC
rnacentral:lncRNA from 1 species